CCCCCCGCCUCAGAACGCGCGCACGCGCGACGCCCCCGCUCCCUGCUCCCGCCCCUUGGCCCCAUGGGUGCCUCCGCUGGAACCCCUGGCCCGCCUGCGCGCGCGCCUUGCCCUGGGGCCUCCCGCCCCCUUUCCUCCGGCGUCCAAUCAGAUCGGGCGAGGGGCGCGGAGCCCAGGGAACGCGCCGUCGGCUGUCCUCAAACCCUAAGUGCUCGCCCAGCGGUUUCGCGAAGCUUUCGUUCCGCCACGAGUAACGUGACAGUAGUGGCCAGAGUCUUCAUCCUGCUUUAAGUGCUCCAGGCUUCUUCAAAGAGGCACUUGCAGAAGACCGCACAGUACCUGGAAACCUUCCAGUUUCACUUGUAGAAUUCAGCCUCACUUAUAAUUCCCUGGCUACUGUCACUGCCUGUCACUGAAGAGCAGAUAAUGAUUUGUUUCCAUAGCUCCAAACUCCAAUCUACAAUGAGAAAAACACCAGACAAGCCCCAAUGGAGGGAUAUUCUAUAUAAUACCUGAGCAGUACUUCUGUAAUCAAGGUCAUCAAAAACAAGGAAAGUCUGAGAAACU